AAGACGAAAGUAAAUUACAUUCAGUUUCGACCUGAAAAAAGGCUAAGCCUCGUUUUA
rnacentral:tRNA from 1 species